UAAAUAUUUGAAAUUUCUAAUCAGAUAAUUCAAAAAAUUCUUAAUCGUAUGUUAUCUACAAUACAUACGAGUCACGUGACAGUAAAUACAUAUGUCAAACAAGACACAGUGUAUAGGAGUCCUGAGAAUAGAUAUUAGAUUGUUUUCUAUUUUACGACAGCUUGAUUAUGAUAACAAGAUGAUAACUUUUAGAAAUUCCAAUACGCAACAACUCGAAAAGAACGGGUGUUGCCAUCGUCUCGAAACAGUCAGUCCCUUGAUAAUUCAGAUACCCUGAAAUCAAGCGAAAUCAAAGGGAUUUCAAUCACAGGAUUAUCCUUGCCGAAGAUAUGCAGCCGUUUCGGUGCACGGGCGACACUUUCGUCAAAAAUAAACUUUUCGAAUGCUGAAUGCAACAUCGUUCUCUUCUAGAAAGCACUUUGACAGAGCCCCAUGGGUACAUUACUAGGAUUGCCGCCACCAAUUGAACUCCCCCGACUCUCGGAGAGGUAGCCCAACCGGGCCAGGCCGACUCCGUUACUCCCUUAUGUCUGCAAACAGAGACGCCCGAGGCAACACCGCCGUUCAAACACCCAAUCGUUUGGGCCGAUUCACAACGAUAAAGCAACUUGCAAAUUCUCCAUUGUUAACGUCAGUUGACUCAGCCGCGCAUUGGCUGCGCUUGAUCUGCAUAAUAGGCAUUAACCCGGAAGGAUUCAAACUUCGCUGUCGGGAUAACUUUUCAACCUAGCCUGAUUAAGUCUCUUCGUCCUCGAAACUUUGUGACGGUACGCGUUGUUACUUACGAAAGAGGGUGAUUAACUAUUCUGACGGAACUUUGCCUCAACUUCCGUGGACGAAGAGUAUUUUCUGGGUUGUUCAGCUGGGUCCGUUCGCGACAACGAUCGAACUGAUUAUUAUCAUUUUUUUUCCAUUUGUGCGAAGAUAUGUGGGUGCUUGUACUAGAAGUUUACCUAUUAGAAAUUGUACGACCUGGGGGAAUUCACUCUAACUGAGUCGGCAUUAGUCGGUGUUAGUUUGCAAGAGUAAUACAUUUCAAAAAUUUUUAAUUUUUAAA